GGGAAGGUGGCUCAGUGGUAGAGCACUUGUCUUGCAUGCAUGAGGCCAUGGGUUCGAUUCCUCACCACCACA
rnacentral:tRNA from 1 species